GCCCGACUAGCUCACCGGUAGAGCGCCUCACUAGUAUGUCAUCUCUAAUAAAUACGAGAAGAAAUGAGGAGGCAACAGGUUCGACUCCUGUGUUGGGCA